rnacentral:rRNA from 1 species
UAGGGAAUCUUCGGCAAUGGGGGCAACCCUGACCGAGCAACGCCGCGUGAGUGAAGAAGGUUUUUGGAUCGUAAAGCUCUGUUGUAAGAGAAGAACGUGUGUGAGAGUGGAAAGUUCACACAGUGACGGUAACUUACCAGAAAGGGACGGCUAACUACGUGCCAGCAGCCGCGGUAAUACGUAGGUCCCGAGCGUUGUCCGGAUUUAUUGGGCGUAAAGCGAGCGCAGGCGGUUUAAUAAGUCUGAAGUUAAAGGCAGUGGCUUAACCAUUGUUCGCUUUGGAAACUGUUAAACUUGAGUGCAGAAGGGGAGAGUGGAAUUCCAUGUGUAGCGGUGAAAUGCGUAGAUAUAUGGAGGAACACCGGUGGCGAAAGCGGCUCUCUGGUCUGUAACUGACGCUGAGGCUCGAAAGCGUGGGGAGCAAACAGG